CAGGGAGGUAGUGACAAUAAAUAACAAUGCCGGGCCUUCUUAGGUCUGGCAAUUGGAAUGAGAACAAUUUAAACCCCUUAUCGAGUAUCAAUUGGAGGGCAAGUCUGGUGCCAGCAGCCGCGGUAAUUCCAGCUCCAAUAGCGUAUAUUAAAGUUGUUGCAGUUAAAAAGCUCGUAGUUGGAUUUGUGGUGUGUCCAGUCGGCCUUUGCUCUUUGAGUGAUUGUGCUGUACUGGUCUGCCAUGUUUGGGUGGAAUCUGUGUGGCAUUAGGUUGUCGUGCAGGGGAUGCCCAUCGUUUACUGUGAAAAAAUUAGAGUGUUUAAAGCAGGCUUAUGCCGUUGAAUAUAUUAGCAUGGAAUAAUAAGAUAGGACGUAGGUACUAUUUUGUUGGUUUGCGCACCCACGUAAUGAUUAAUAGAGACAGGCGGGGCUAUUCGUAUUGCAUUGUCAGAGGUGAAAUUCUUGGAUUUCUGCAAGACGAACUACUGCGAAAGCAUUUAGCAAGGAUGUUUUCAUUAAUCAAGAACGAAAGUUAGGGGAUCGAAGAUGAUUAGAUACCAUCGUAGUCUUAACCAUAAACUAUGCCGACUCGGGAUUGGCAGUUGUUUUUUGACUCUGUCAGCACCGUAUGAGAAAUCAAAGUCUUUGGGUUCCGGGGGGAGUAUGGUCGCAAGGCUGAAAUCCAUAUGAC
rnacentral:rRNA from 1 species